rnacentral:lncRNA from 1 species
GUUGACUUCACUGACGUCGAGAAACAAAGCUAGGUGGAUGGCAGUACGUUCAUACCCAAGAUCCAGAACUCAGCCUAAUAGGCUCAUGACUGCUAGAAUGAAACAGUGCAUAGAACAGACACGCACAUGGCUAACUAAGGAGCAAGUCAUCGCAAUCAGAGCCGACAAAAGCAAAAAUGUUGUCCUCAUCCCUAAAUCGGAGUAUCAUAGAUUACUCACUGAAUACACCUAUUCAGUCUAGGAGUGGCAUUAUAAAUGUACUGUUUCAGAUACCGACCCUACAGAUAAGAUUAGAAGAGAAAUUUUUCGACUAUGCAACCACCCGGAAGCUCCGAC